UUCGACACACUAUCAUUAACUGAAUCCAUAGGUUAAUGAGGCGAACCGGGGGAACUGAAACAUCUAAGUACCCCGAGGAAAAGAAAUCAACCGAGAUUCCCCCAGUAGCGGCGAGCGAACGGGGAGGAGCCCAGAGCCUGAAUCAGUGUGUGUGUUAGUGGAAGCGUCUGGAAAGGCGUGCGAUACAGGGUGACAGCCCCGUACACAAAAAUGCACAUAUUGUGAGCUCGAUGAGUAGGGCGGGACACGUGGUAUCCUGUCUGAAUAUGGGGGGACCAUCCUCCAAGGCUAAAUACUCCUGACUGACCGAUAGUGAACCAGUACCGUGAGGGAAAGGCGAAAAGAACCCCGGCGAGGGGAGUGAAAAAGAACCUGAAACCGUGUACGUACAAGCAGUGGGAGCCUCUUAAUGGGGUGACUGCGUACCUUUUGUAUAAUGGGUCAGCGACUUAUAUUCUGUAGCAAGGUUAACCGAAUAGGGGAGCCGAAGGGAAACCGAGUCUUAACUGGGCGUUAAGUUGCAGGGUAUAGACCCGAAACCCGGUGAUCUAGCCAUGGGCAGGUUGAAGGUUGGGUAACACUAACUGGAGGACCGAACCGACUAAUGUUGAAAAAUUAGCGGAUGACUUGUGGCUGGGGGUGAAAGGCCAAUCAAACCGGGAGAUAGCUGGUUCUCCCCGAAAGCUAUUUAGGUAGCGCCUCGUGAAUUCAUCUCCGGGGGUAGAGCACUGUUUCGGCAAGGGGGUCAUCCCGACUUACCAACCCGAUGCAAACUGCGAAUACCGGAGAAUGUUAUCACGGGAGACACACGGCGGGUGCUAACGUCCGUCGUGAAGAGGGAAACAACCCAGACCGCCAGCUAAGGUCCCAAAGUCAUGGUUAAGUGGGAAACGAUGUGGGAAGGCCCAGACAGCCAGGAUGUUGGCUUAGAAGCAGCCAUCAUUUAAAGAAAGCGUAAUAGCUCACUGGUCGAGUCGGCCUGCGCGGAAGAUGUAACGGGGCUAAACCAUG
rnacentral:rRNA from 1 species